GGCUGGUCCGAUGGUAGUGGGUUAUCAGAACUUAUUAACGUUAGUGUCACUAAAGUUGGUAUACAACCCCCCCACUGCUAAAUUUGACUGGCUUUUU
rnacentral:Y_RNA from 1 species